AGUGAAUAUAGUUUAUUAAAAAUUUUAGUCUGUGA
rnacentral:tRNA from 1 species